GGUUAAGUUAGAAAGGGCGCACGGUGGAUGCCUUGGCACUAGGAGCCGAAGAAGGACGGGACUAACACCGAUAUGCUUUGGGGAGCUGUACGUAAGCGUUGAUCCAGAGAUUUCCGAAUGGGGGAACCCACUAUCUUUAGUCGGAUAGUAUCCUUACGUGAAUACAUAGCGUGAGGAAGGCAGACCCAGGGAACUGAAACAUCUAAGUACCUGGAGGAAGAGAAAGAAAAAUCGAUUUCCUGAGUAGCGGCGAGCGAAACGGAAAGAGCCCAAACCAAGAAGCUUGCUUCUUGGGGUUGUAGGACACUCUAUACGGAGUUACAAAAGAAAGUUAUAAAUGAAGCGGUCUGGAAAGGCCCGCCAAAGACGGUAACAGCCCGGUAGUUGAAAUGGCUUUCCCUCCAGAGUGGAUCCUGAGUACGGCGGAACACGUGAAAUUCCGUCGGAAUCCGGGAGGACCAUCUCCCAAGGCUAAAUACUCCCUAGUGACCGAUAGUGAACCAGUACCGUGAGGGAAAGGUGAAAAGCACCCCGGAAGGGGAGUGAAACAGUUCCUGAAACCGUGUGCCUACAAGUAGUUAGAGCCCGUUAAUGGGUGAUAGCGUGCCUUUUGUAGAAUGAACCGGCGAGUUACGAUUUGUUGCAAGGUUAAGCGGAAAAAGCGGAGCCGUAGCGAAAGCGAGUCUGAAUAGGGCGCAUAAGUAACAGGUCGUAGACCCGAAACCAGGUGAUCUACCCAUGUCCAGGAUGAAGGUAAGGUAAUACUUACUGGAGGUCCGAACCCACGCACGUUGAAAAGUGCGGGGAUGAGGUGUGGGUAGCGGAGAAAUUCCAAUCGAACUUGGAGAUAGCUGGUUCUCUCCGAAAUAGCUUUAGGGCUAGCCUCGAGGUAAAGAGUCAUGGAGGUAGAGCACUGUUUGGACUAGGGGCCCUUCUCGGGUUACCGAAUUCAGAUAAACUCCGAAUGCCAUGUACUUAUACUCGGGAGUCAGACUGCGAGUGAUAAGAUCCGUAGUCGAAAGGGAAACAGCCCAGACCACCAGUUAAGGUCCCCAAAUAUAUGUUAAGUGGAAAAGGAUGUGGGGUUGCUUAGACAACCAGGAUGUUGGCUUAGAAGCAGCCACCAUUGAAAGAGUGCGUAAUAGCUCACUGGUCGAGUGACCCCGCGCCGAAAAUGUACCGGGGCUAAACAUAUUACCGAAACUGUGGAUGAACCUCUUUAGAGGUUCGUGGUAGGAGAGCGUUCUAAGGGCGGUGAAGUCAGACCGGAAGGACUGGUGGAGCGCUUAGAAGUGAGAAUGCCGGUAUGAGUAGCGAAAGAAGGGUGAGAAUCCCUUCCACCGAAUAUCUAAGGUUUCCUGAGGAAGGCUCGUCCGCUCAGGGUUAGUCGGGACCUAAGCCGAGGCCGAUAGGCGUAGGCGAUGGACAACAGGUAGAGAUUCCUGUACCAGUGCUAAUUGUUUAACCGAUGGGGUGACACAGAAGGAUAGGGAAUCGCACGAAUGGAAAUGUGCGUCCAAGCAGUGAGUGUGAGAAGUAGGCAAAUCCGCUUCUCUNNNNNNNNNNNNNNNNNNNNNNNNNNNNNNNNNNNNNNNNNNNNNNNNNNNNNNNNNNNNNNNNNNNNNNNNNNNNNNNNNNNNNNNNNNNNNNNNNCACGAAGCAUGAGCUGUGAUGGGGAAGGAAAUUAAGUACGGAAGUUCCUGAUUUCACGCUGUCAAGAAAAGCCUCUAGGAAGAGUAGUACUGCCCGUACCGCAAACCGACACAGGUAGAUGAGGAGAGAAUCCUAAGGUGAGCGAGAGAACUCUCGUUAAGGAACUCGGCAAAAUGACCCCGUAACUUCGGGAGAAGGGGUGCUCUAUUAGGGUGCAAGCCCGAGAGAGCCGCAGUGAAUAGGCCCAGGCGACUGUUUAGCAAAAACACAGGUCUCUGCAAAACCGUAAGGUGACGUAUAGGGGCUGACGCCUGCCCGGUGCUGGAAGGUUAAGAGGAGUGCUUAGCUUCGGCGAAGGUACGAAUUGAAGCCCCAGUAAACGGCGGCCGUAACUAUAACGGUCCUAAGGUAGCGAAAUUCCUUGUCGGGUAAGUUCCGACCCGCACGAAAGGCGCAACGAUCUGGGCACUGUCUCAACGAGAGACUCGGUGAAAUUAUAGUACCUGUGAAGAUGCAGGUUACCCGCGACAGGACGGAAAGACCCCGUGGAGCUUUACUGCAACCUGAUAUGGAAUGUUUGUACCGCUUGUACAGGAUAGGUAGGAGCCGAAGAGACGUGUGCGCUAGCAUACGAGGAGGCAAUGGUGGGAUACUACCCUGGCUGUAUGACCAUUCUAACCCGCCACGCUUAGCGCGUGGGGAGACAGUGUCAGGUGGGCAGUUUGACUGGGGCGGUCGCCUCCUAAAGAGUAACGGAGGCGCCCAAAGGUUCCCUCAGAAUGGAUGGAAAUCAUUCGCAGAGUGUAAAGGCACAAGGGAGCUUGACUGCGAGACUGACAAGUCGAGCAGGGACGAAAGUCGGGCUUAGUGAUCCGGUGGUUCCGCAUGGAAGGGCCAUCGCUCAACGGAUAAAAGCUACCCCGGGGAUAACAGGCUUAUCUCCCCCAAGAGUCCACAUCGACGGGGAGGUUUGGCACCUCGAUGUCGGCUCGUCGCAUCCUGGGGCUGUAGUCGGUCCCAAGGGUUGGGCUGUUCGCCCAUUAAAGCGGCACGCGAGCUGGGUUCAGAACGUCGUGAGACAGUUCGGUCCCUAUCCGUCGCGGGCGCAGGAAAUUUGAGAGGAGCUGUCCUUAGUACGAGAGGACCGGGAUGGACACACCGCUGGUGUACCAGUUGUUCCGCCAGGAGCAUCGCUGGGUAGCUAUGUGUGGCAGGGAUAAACGCUGAAAGCAUCUAAGCGUGAAGCCCCCCUCAAGAUGAGAUUUCCCAUUUCUUCGGAAAGUAAGAUCCCUGAAAGAUGAUCAGGUAGAUAGGUUUGGAGUGGAAGUGUAGCGAUACAUGGAGCGGACAAAUACUAAUCGAUCGAGGACUUAACCAA
rnacentral:rRNA from 1 species